GACGAACGCUGGCGGCGUGCUUAACACAUGCCAGUCGAACGGAAAGGCCCUGCUUUUGUGGGGUGCUCGAGUGGCGAACGGGUGAGUAACACGUGAGUAACCUGCCCUUGACUUUGGGAUAACUUCAGGAAACUGGGGCUAAUACCGGAUAGGAGCUCCUGCUGCAUGGUGGGGGUUGGAAAGUUUCGGCGGUUGGGGAUGGACUGGCGGCUUAUCAGCUUGUUGGUGGGGUAGUGGCUUACCAAGGCUUUGACGGGUAGCCGGCCUGAGAGGGUGACCGGCCACAUUGGGACUGAGAUACGGCCCAGACUCCUACGGGAGGCAGCAGUGGGGAAUAUUGCACAAUGGGCGGAAGCCUGAUGCAGCAACGCCGCGUGCGGGAUGACGGCCUUCGGGUUGUAAACCGCUUUCGCCUGUGACGAAGCGUGAGUGACGGUAAUGGGUAAAGAAGCACCGGCUAACUACGUG
rnacentral:rRNA from 1 species